AAUGAACGCUGGCGGCAGGCUUAACACAUGCAAGUCGAGCGAACGGCGGACUGGUGAGUACUGUCUGGGAAACUGCCUGAUGGACGGGGAUAACUACGGGAAAAGGUAGCUAAUACCGCAUAACAUCAGAUGUGCUCAGAUGGGAUUAGGUAGUAGGUGGGGUAAUGGCUCACCUAGGCGACGAUGCCUAGCUGGUCUGAGAGGAUGACCUGCCACACUGGCACUGAGACACGUUCCAGACUCCUACGGGAGUCAGCAGGAGGGAAUAUUGCGCAAUGGGCGCAAGCCUGAGGCAGCAAUGCCGCGUGUGUGAAGAAGGCCUUCGGGUUGUAAAGCUCUUUCCGCGAGGAGGCGUUACUCGCAGAAGAAGCACCGGCUAACUCCGUGCCAGCAGCCGCGGUAAUUC
rnacentral:rRNA from 1 species